GUGACGGUAGGAGCAGAAGAAGCACCGGCCAACUACGUGCCAGCAGCCGCGGUAAUACGUAGGGUGCGAGCGUUGUCCGGAAUUAUUGGGCGUAAAGAGCUCGUAGGCGGUUUGUCGCGUCGAAUGUGAAAACCCCGGACUCAACUCCGGGCCUGCAUUCGAUACGGGCAGACUAGAGUUCGGUAGGGGAGAAUGGAAUUCCUGGUGUAGCGGUGAAAUGCGCAGAUAUCAGGAGGAACACCGGUGGCGAAGGCGGGUCUCUGGGCCGAUACUGACGCUGAGGAGCGAAAGCGUGGGGAGCGAACAGGAUUAGAUACCCUGGUAGUCCACGCCGUAAACGUUGGGCGCUAGGUGUGGGG
rnacentral:rRNA from 1 species